rnacentral:tRNA from 1 species
GCCCCGUUCUUCUAACGGCCAGGAUACCGACCUCUCAUGUCGGAGACGCCGGGUUCAAUUCCCGCACGGGGUA